rnacentral:tmRNA from 1 species
GGGGAUGUAAAGGUUUCGACGGGGAGGACGAACCUUGAUAAGCGAGCGGCGGUGCGGGACCGCCAUAAAAUCCGCAACUUAAAAAUAACUGACAAAAGAACAGUUUCUUUAGCUGCUUAAUGCGGCUCGUCCCUGCGCGGAGCACCUCGGCCGCGUAAGGGGCGUCGACUAGAGGUAAAGGUGAACGGAGGGCUGCUCCUCCCCCCGUCAUCAAGUCGGAGCUACCAAACCGCACAGCCUGUCGUUAGGCGGCGCGGCAAGGGAAUGAUAAUAUAACGACUGCGCUCGGAGAAACUCAAGGCAAGUCCUUUUCGGACGCGGGUUCGAUUCCCGCCAUCUCCACCA